ACCCUUGAGCGGCGGGUGGGGGCCCUAAAUUGAACCAAUAGUUCCCCCACCCUAUUUUCAUUUAGGGCUCCCACCCGCCACUCAUGGGUGAUGAGUG